AUUGAACGCUGGCGGAAUGCUUUACACAUGCAAGUCGAACGGCAGCACGGAGAGCUUGCUCUCUGGUGGCGAGUGGCGAACGGGUGAGUAAUAUAUCGGAACGUGUCCAAUAAUGGGGGAUAACGAGUCGAAAGAUUCGCUAAUACCGCAUACGCCUACGGNGGAAAGCAGGGGAUCGUAAGACCUUGCGUUAAUGGAGCGGCCGAUAUCUGAUUAGCUUGUUGGUGAGGUAAAGGCUCACCAAGGCGACGAUCAGCUAGCUGGUUUGAGAGAACGACCAGCCACACUGGAACUGAGACACGGUCCAGACUCCUACGGGAGGCAGCAGUGGGCAAUUUUGCACAAUGGGCGCAACCCUGAUCCAGCCAUUCCGCGUGAGUGAAGAAGGCCUUCGGGUUGUAAAGCUCUUUCGCAAGGGAAGAAAACUUAUGAUCGAAUAANUCAUGAGGUUGACGGUACCUUGAUAA
rnacentral:rRNA from 1 species